AACACGACACAUCACAUCCCCGCUAACGCUAAGCCUCCUACAUCUAGCUCGUUUUCGGCCAUUCCACCGCACGUUGCCUUCCGCCCUUCCCUUCCAGCAGGCGCUGGGCAGGCUGCAGCUGCUUUUUACCGAUGGACGCGACGGCGUCGGACCCCUCGUCGGGGCGCAGACGGCAGCUGCAGGGCCCCCGCCCGCCGCGGCUUGCCGUCAACGUGGAGUCCCUCAAGAUCAAGAAGCCGGCCGUCACGCGACGACUGAAGACCACCGAGGUCAUCGAAGUCCAGCUUGCCGACUUCAAGGCCGCCGUUCAGCGCCUGACAGGUCUUGGCGCCGCUGUCGCCGCAACCGACUACAUGGACAUGAAAUACACAGGACCAGGACCGUCUAUGGUGUCGUCACCACGGGUGGAGUUCAGUGACGGAUCUACGGCGGGGUGCUCCAGCCCCCCUCCGUCUGAGAAGACAGUGGAGGAGGAAGGAAAAAAAAGAGGAAGGAGAGGAGAAGGAAGGAAGAGGAAGGAAGAAGAGGAGGAAGGAAGAGGAAGGAAGAGAAAAAAAGAGGAAGAAGAGAGAAAAAAGGAGUCCCCGCGGCCACGACUGUGGUUACUCUCGCCCACCACCACCGCUGUCUCAGCCUCCGCGAGGGCGAGGCUAGCGGCCACCGAGAGGGCGAUCUGGCCGCUGUCUCUGCCCCGCCCUCCUACGGACUACGGAGAGGACGCGGACAGCUUGGCAGCCGUUCUUAGCCUGCCGGGACGGCCGGGGAUCCUGUCGCCUGCGGCUCUGCCGCCGGCUGCGUUCUCUGGGCAGUUCUCGGCGCUGCCGUUUGACCCAAGCUGCCUCUCAUGGCUCAAGGAGCUGACCCCCUUCCUGCCCUCUGCAAGCAGAUGCGUAGAGGAGCUGGAAUGCCUGUUCACGCUGAAACGAAGCACCCUGCUGCUUCCCGGAAUGCCAUGUCCGGCCACCGUCUCGACGUUUGAGUUGUUCAGAGAUGUCCUAGAAAUUAAAUCAGGCAAUGGAGAAGGAGCACCUGCUGGACAUGUUGGUGAUGCCGAGCAAUCUCUGAAAGCUGAACCUGUUGGUGACCCACAAGUUGGAGUAUAUUCGCCAUCAAUCAGUCGUCUCUUUCAGCAGCUUGUUCAUGUUCGAACUAUCAUCUCAUCCUUCAAUGGGAAGCUGCCAUCUGAUGCUUGGUUCAAUCAUGUAAAAAAUUUGACCUCAGAUGCAGAAGAAUCUCUCGAAUAUCUGCACUACAAGAUGAUGCUGGCCAAGCUUGGGGUUGGGAUAGAGUUCAAGAAAGUAAUGCCCAAUGUGUCAGGGACUUGUUCCAAAACAACAGCUUUAAGCUUCAUGCACUUACUAGCUUCACAGGAACUUGUUUUUUUACCAGUUACCGACAAAUUGGAGGGCCUUCGACCUGGAAGCCCUGGUUUGACUGGUGUAGUUCUUGGAAACUACAGUGAGAUAUUGUCACUUAGUUCUUCGGUCAUGCGGUGCAUCCUUUUGUGUCGUGGCAUUUUAGGCAUUAUUAACAUAGUUAACAUGAGGCUUAAGAAGGAUAGUCUGGAACUUCCUGCAUUUGCUUUUGAUGAUCUGACAUAUGCUGGUCAGAACAAGGGAACUGGAAUGAAUGCGCAUCGUGUGCCGGCACACAUGACUGACCCUAUAUAUUUGUUGCCUAUGUUUAUCAGGAGUCUUUUGUGUUUGGAUCUCUCAAACUGCAGUGGCCUUACACAGCUGCCUGCUUCCAUUGGCAACCUUUCUAAUCUGGUUGCAUUGAACCUCUCUCACUGUUAUUCCCUUCACACACUGCCGGCGUCAGUAGGAAGACUGAAGAACUUGCAAAUUCUUGUUCUUUCCUGCUGCCAUGAACUAAGGAUUUUACCAGUGUCACUUUGUGAGCUUUCCAAGCUAAGGUUGCUGGAUUUAGCAGGCUGUUCCGGCCUUCAAAACUUACCUGCUUCUUUAGUAAAUCUUUGCAAUCUAGAGAUUCUGAACCUAUCAUAUUGCAAAGAACUGAAGGAGCUUCCACAACCAUUUGGUAACCUCCAGGAACUGAAGUACUUGAAUUUAUCAGGCAGCCAUCGGGUUGACUUGGAUGUUGAGUGCCUAUAUACACUUGCAAAUUUGAAGUCCCUAACUUUGUCGCCGCUUACAAAUAUUCAAGGCUUUCCUGGUUCCUUCAAAGAUCUUGCGAAUCGCUUGGAUAGUUUAAGAUUGUGGAAGAACCAGAUCCAUCCCCAGUGUGGCCCAAAGGCUGUUUCUUUGCAUUCAUAUAGGUGUUAUGAGCAAAGUAUCAUUGACAUGUUACUUUCUGAUGAGGCUGACAAUAGUAGCAACCAGAUAGUCACUUCUGCUUGCAUAGUUGGUGAAAGUGGCAUGGGAAAGACUGAGCUAGUCCAUCGAAUUUACAAUAACCGAAUGAUUUUGGAUACCUUUGAUUUGAGAAUAUGGCUGCAUAUGUGUGAUAAAAAGAGGCUAUUAGGUAAGAUAGUAGAGCUCACUACUUUUGCAUCCUGUGGUGAUGCCUCAAUCAGUGUUCUUGAAGAAAUUGUAAUAGAAGAACUUGCUAGCAAGAGGUUGUUACUUGUACUAGACGAUUCUGAAAUCAAGGACCAGUAUUUCUGGGGUUAUCUAUGGAAGCUACUUAAUGUUUGUGCAAAAGGAAGCGCUGUCAUUGUAACUACCAAGAGCAUGGUAGAUGCUAACCAGACUGGAGCAAUGCAAACCUUUUACUUGAGUCCUCUAUCCAAAGAAGAAUGCUUUAUGAUUUUCAAGGAACAUGUGCUUGAAGAUUUAGUUGUGAAUAAUUACUGUCAGUUAGAAAGCAUUGGCUGGAAGUUUGCGGAGAAAUGUGGUGGCAAUCCAAUGUGCAUUAAAGCCCUAAGUGGGUUGUUAUGUCAUUCUGAAGUUGGAUUGUCUGAAAUUGAUAUGAUUGUUGAUGGUAUCUUACCAGCAUUAAGAUUAUGCUACGAUCUUUUGCCAGCACACCUUCAGCAGUGCUUCAAAUUUUGUUCCCUAUUCCCCAAAGAUUAUAUUUUUGUCAAGCACCAUAUCAUCCGAUUAUGGAUAGCUGAAGGCUUAGUCUUCUGUGAAGAAGGUACUAAGCCAGAAGAUACUGCUCUGCAUUAUUUUGACCAACUAUUCUGCAGAUCAUUUUUCCAGCGUUCUCCAUUUCAUAGUGAUCAUAAAGAUAGCUUUGUUAUGCAUGAGCUAUUUCAUGAUCUGGCACACUCUGUUUCCAAGAAUGAGUGCUUCAGAUGUGAGGAACCAUUCUGCAGCUUAGCUGAAAAUGUUUCCCACCUAUCCCUUGUUCUUUCAGAUUUUAAGACAACUGCACUUUCUAAUGAAGUAAGGAAUUUGCAGUCUUUUCUGGUUGUCAGAAGAUGUUUCCCAGUGGUGAGAAUUUUUACUUUGGAUGAUAUUUUCGUGAAACAUAGAUUCUUAAGGGCACUAAAUUUGAGCUAUACAGACAUACUAGAGUUGCCAAUUUCUAUUGGAAACAUGAAGCACCUGCGGCUCUUGGCUCUCAACAACACCAAGAUCAAAAGCCUUCCUAUUGAGAUAGGACAAGUAAACAGUCUUCAGACAUUGGAACUGAAGGAUUGUUGCCACCUCAUUGACUUACCAGGAAGCAUAAGUAAUUUGGCAAAGCUGCGACACCUUGAUGUGCAAAAAGAAUCGGGCAACAUUAUUGUUGGCAUGCCUCAUGGUAUAGGAUAUCUGACAGAUCUCCAAACUCUCACAAUGUUCAACAUUGGGAAUGAUAUGUUGCAUUGUUCGAUUUCAGAGUUGAACAAUCUGAAUGGACUAAGGGGACAUGUUCAUGUAACUAGGCUUGAGAAUAUUAUGACAGCCAAUGAUGCCAGAGAAGCAAAUAUGAUGGGUAAACACUUGCUAGAGGCUUUGACACUGGAGUGGUCUUACCAGGAUGAAGGCAUGGACGAUGACAUGGGCAAAGAAAUUGCUAGUGAGAUUCUUCAAAAUCUUCAACCUAACAGCAACAUUAUGGAGCUUAUCAUUCGAAAUUAUGCUGGAGAUCUGUUUCCUGUCUGGAUGCAGGACAAUUACCUUUGCAAGCUCACCUCAGUUACACUUGAUAACUGCCAUGGCUGUAGUGAGCUCCCUUACCUUGGUGAUCUACCAUCUCUUAAAUCUCUCUUCAUACAGAGAAUAAAUGUUGUUGAAAGAUUUGGAAUCGAGACCAGUUCUUUGGCCACUGAAGUAAAAUAUCCCACUAGAUUUCCAUCACUGGAGGUGCUGAAUAUAUGCGAGAUGUAUGAUUUGCAGUUCUGGGUUAGCACGAGAGAGGAGGAUUUUCCACGACUCUUUCGACUUUCUAUCAGUAGAUGCCCGAAACUAACCAAAUUGCCUCGCCUUAUUUCCCUAGUGCAUGUGUCAUUUCAUUACGGUGUUGAACUGCCGACCUUCUCAGAACUUCCAUCACUGGAGUCACUAAAGAUCGAAGGCUUCCAGAAGAUUAGAUCUAUUAGUUUCCCACAUCAAUUGACAACCUUGAAUAAGUUGGAAAUUAUUGACUGCAAAGAGCUGUUAUCAAUAAAUGCCUAUUCCUUGUCUGUUUCAAAUUUUAAAGUUGUCAGGUGCCUAAAGCUUGAUUUGGUUGGAAGUUCAAUGGAAGACCAUAUCAGCCACAAAGUGGUUAAUGGAAGGAAUAUCCUGACAAGGAAGCAUAUGGUGCUAAAAACUUUGACCCAUACAAAUCUCUUGGAUGAUGGCAGCAAGUGGGAAAAGUUUGGAGAAAAGAAUAUAUUUGGCUACAUAUUCCCAAGGUCUUACUGCACAUGCAUUUGGAGAAAGUCGACAGGAUGCAGCGCAACAAAGAUUUUGCAGCCGAACAGCAAUGAUCCCAACACAUUGUUUGUCAUGUACAUCUCAAAGCACAACCAUGGAUUCUCCAAUGAACCACACCUUGAAUCGUCUAGUCCACCUGGAACAGGUCGUAAACGAAAGGAAUAUGAUGUGUCCAGUGUUGAAAACACAUCUAAAAAGCAACUGCAUGACUCUUUGGAGUGAGUUGUCAGGCCCCAGUUUUACAGCAGUUUCAUGCAUGGAGGACAUACACCAAUCAGCUCCUAGUUGCAUUGAUGACAUCCUUGCACUGCAACCCUAUGAAUGAAAAGACACAUCAGGUCAAUAGGGGAGGUCUGAAGAUCAGUUUUUGGAAUUCUCUGUGGCAGUCCAUAUCUAGUUGAAAUGCAACAGCCUAGUAUUGAAAACUUGAAAAAGAAUUCUGAUUGGGAAUACCUGAUUAAGCAGAUCAAUGAUUACCGUCUAGGAUUCUAUGCACCAUAGGAACAGGAAGCUUCAAGAACUAAAAUGUCACCUUCCGCAAUGCACGUAUAUGAGAUUUCCUUUUUAGCUGCAGGUCACAGUACCGUAUUUUCAGCUUUGGUUCUGAAGUGAACUUGGGCAACAGCUUCAGUUUGCUGCAUCUGACGAUGCUGAAAUAUUUAAGAUUGGGGAAGUGCUCACUCUUGACACCGAGCCAUUCCUCCCAAGCUUCCAUGUUGCUGAACUUUAGUGACUUCAGUGCAGGAAACACAUUACAGAUUCUGCUCCUAAUGUUAGAAGUGGUAUCUCCAGCAUUUCCAAAGAACUCUGGACCAAUCAGCUUCACACUUGGCAGUGAUUGUAUCAAAAUGUGUUUCAGUGAUGGUAGGCAGCCAAGGGGCGGUACUUCUUUGCAAUUACGACAGUCUUUCAGUUCAAUAGAAGCUAACCUGUCCAAGGGCAGCCAUCCUAACCAUGACCGAGAAAAGGAUCCGUUAUAACCCUUGAUGCUAAGCUCCUCCAGAUUUGAAUGUGGCUUGAGGCAAUUCAAAACCUGAUCUGCUGUUGCACUGAUUGCAGGGUGCUGACUGUCUGAUAUGCAGCUCACAGCGUUUCCUUGCGGAUCACAAAGGGACUUGCUAAAAUUUGUAACUCCGGACCAUUCGAGUGUAAGACUUUUAAUCCGCGGCUUGUUCCAAAGGUUGGCGAUGGAAGCUUGUGCACCAUCCAGGUUGUUUAAACCUGUGAUGUGAAGAUGUCCUUCGAGGUUUACCAGUUCGUUGAGGUCUGCUAUGGUGCAUCCAGCAGGCUCAUUCUCGAUGGCGAAAAAAGGUAGUCUCUGCAGCCUAGUCAACUCUCCAAUCCCAGAAGGCAUCUUUAUGCCUGAAUGUGGAAUCUCUAAGCACCUUAGGUUCAAUAGGAGCUUGAUGCCCUGAGGCAACUGAGUAAGGGAAGAACAAUGGUUAAGCUUUAUUGUCUGCAAGUGGAGAAGAGCACAAAUUGACUCAGGCAGCAUCUGAAUUGCGGUGUUGUCCAGACCAAGGAACCUUAGGUGUAUCAGACUUCCAAUGGAUUUCGGUAGCUCCAUGAUAUUAGAGUUGCUCAAAUCUAAAGCCCUUAAGCAUUCAAAACCUGUGAUCAGCUCAGAUGGAAUCUUUGUUCUGAAGGUCAUCUCCUCGGGGUUCUGUUCUGUUCUUGCAAUGAACAUGAAGGUCCGGAGAUCACGAUGACCACAGAACCAGCUCAGGUUUAUUUCUUCGACCGAAUCGGACUCCUCGUCGACCAAGGACAAAUGCCGAGAGCUCUCAUCUAUUUUCGUCGAAUUAGGGAGCUGUAUCAUCCUACAUUCAUUGCCUGAAACAAACUGAGCAAGCUCUUGAUACAGGUCGUGCAUAACAAACUUCCCUUCGCUGAGAGCAUGAGAUGGGGAAGGGUGGAAGAAGCACCUUGACACCAAGUCAUUGAAGUAACCAUUGGCGAUCGCUUCAAGGCUGCAGUCUCCUUCAGCAUCCACAAAGCCCUGCGCAGUCCACAGCUGGACUAGCAGAUCUUUGUCGAACACGAAGCCCUUUGGAAACAAUGAACAAAACGCGAAGCUGCGCUUCAGCGGCAUGGACAGGUGGUCGUAGCUCACCUUCAGCACCGGCAGUACCAGGUUCUUCACCUCAUUGUCAGCCCACAAGUCGUUAUUCAGGACUUCAUUCCAGUGCUCCCAGACGGCUGAAGUGCUCAGGACGCUACCAGCUGCCUCUGCCGCCAAUGGCAAGCCGUGGCAUUUCUUGGCGAUCCUCUCACCGAUCUCAACGAGUUCUUUGUGGACGUUGGCACCGCUAUUUGGCAGUGCCCGUCGCUGGCAUACAAGCCAGCAGUCUUCAUCUGACAAGCAUUUGAGAUGAUACACCUUGGUGCUCACCAUCCUGGCAACCUUGUUGCUCCUCGUCGUCACGGCAACCGCACUCCCUGGCGCGCAGUGGCUCAGCGGGGCCGUCAGGCUGUUCCAGUGGCUGGGAUUGUCAUCCCACACGUCGUCAAGAACGAUCAAGCACCUCUUCCCGGCAAGGUGCUCAACUAUGAGCUCAUGAAGCGUGCUCAGCUCGCCGCACUCCGGGCGCGAUCUGGUGAUCGCCUCAACAAUCUUGCGGGUCACGCUGACAACGUCAAAAUCCUGGGAGACCCAAACCCAGCGCGUCAGUUCAAAGCACGACUUCACCGUCUCCAUGCCGCAGACGUGCUGCAUCAGAGCAGUCUUGCCGACGCCGGCCAUCCCGACGAUGGGCACGACGGCGUAGCUCGUCCCGCCGUCCGGAUCCCCGAGGACCAGCGCGGCGACCCUCUCGACGUCGCCAUGCCUCCCGUGGAGGCGCUCGGUACGGGGAAGCACGCUGCUUGGCACGAGCGGGCUGGCCGCGGGCCGGGGCGCGCAGCCGCCGUCGCCUGGCCGCAGCCGGAGCGUCUUCCUGUCCGACGCGAUCUCUUCGUACCUCGCCCAGACGUCGUCGAUCUUGCGGCGGAGCCGCCUCGCGGGCGGGGGCGCGAACAGCAGCGCCACCUCCCGGCGCUGCUUCCGCGUCGUGGCGGCGUAGAGCAAGUCUUGCUUGAGCUCCUCCAGCUGCGCCGAGCGGCGGGACUCGUACUCCAGCUCCUCGACCACAUCCUCGGCCCGGUUCUCGAGGUCGCCGAGCUCGGCCAGCCACAGCUGGACGGAGCAAUCGGUGACGGACAGGCUCUCGGCGUCGCGGAGGGUGGCGCGGAUCCGCCGCAGUUUGGACUUGAGCGCCAUCAGCUCGUCGUCGUUGACGGUGGUCGGCUCGGUCGCCCGCCCGAAUGGCUCCAGCAGUGGCGACGCGAGCUUCUUGGACUUGACUGCAAAGUGAAGCAGCGCAUCUCGCAGAGUGUGGAUGAUGGUCGUCGUCUUCUCUCCAUUGUUGUCCAUUGCCGGAUCAGUACGUGGCGCGAGAACUCGAUGGUUGGUUUGGAGAUUGGAUUAGUAGAGAAUCAGCUGUUGGUGGCUUGGUGCGUAUUGCGUAAAGCUGCUGUGACUGUGAGGCUGAGAACGAGGAGGGGUUUGGCUGACACCUGACAGCUCCCGCAAGCGUUGACGAAGACUUCGCUUGGUUGGCACGGAGAGGCUCAGUACUCGAAUGGCCCCACCACUUUAUCUUCUACUAGAGGAGCUAAAGAAAAUGGACCGACGCUCGCGUGCUGGUGCCCGCGCGCUAACACUUUAGAUUGUUUAUUUCUUAUCCUACAAUUUUCACUCUAUGAUAAAUCGAUACACGAAGACCAAGGUGUUACGACCGUCUAUUA